rnacentral:lncRNA from 12 species
CUCGGAGGCCAGGUCCAGCGGCGACACUCCACGUGGGCCCGCGAGGCCCCAACUCCACAAUCAGGGUCCGCACCCGGGCUUCCCGCCCCACCAACUCCGGGGUGAGCAGAGGUGAACUCCCCAUUGGCGGAGUCUGGUCUCGUGGGCACGCCCUAUUGCAAGGGACGCUGGGAAAGAGCGGAUGCAAGGGAUGCUGGGAGAGGGAGGAUGCAAGGGACGCUGGGAAAUGGCGGAUGUAAGGGACGCCGGGAGAGGGCGGCCGGUCCUGUCGUCAGGUCCCCACUGGCCUCUCGGCCUUGAGCAGAGCACAGACGGGUGCACAUGACUGGACUUCAAUCCUUCGCCUGCCUGGCCCACCUGAUGGGAUGUCGGCUCCCCUCAUGGCUUAAUAAGGUGCCUUGCCUUACUCUUCCUGACUCCCAGACCCCAAAUGGGGUUUCCCUUUAAAUUCCCAGGGUGAAAAUCUGGCCCAGCAUAGGUCCAGCGUCUGCCCUGGUCACCCAGGGAUGGCCGGGAGGGUGGAGUCGGGUAGACCAGAGAAGGUGUGCGGUGCUGGGCCUGCAGCUCAGGGCUGCUUUGCAGGGAAGGAAGAAUGCUUGUUAACCAGGAGUUAGCCACGGCAUCCCGCGGACAGCAUGCUGACCGAGCACGGUGGUGUAGCAAGAGCCCAGCCAAGUCCUCGCCUCUCCAGCACGUGGCCCUCCCAUGGCUCUUCUUCCUUCUGUCUCUGUGUGUCCAUGGGAUCGAAACUGUCCUAUGUAUUUCAGAGAUCCUAAGGGAAUCGCAUAGUCAACGAAAUCAAAGCUCCACAAAUCAUGGAUCUCAGGAGAAGUAG